rnacentral:rRNA from 1 species
CCUACGGGUGGCAGCAGUAGGGAAUAUUGGUCAAUGGAUGCAAGUCUGAACCAGCCAUGCCGCGUGCAGGAAGAAGGCCUUCUGGGUUGUAAACUGCUUUUGCCGGGGGAUAAAAAGCUCAUGCGUGAGUAAUUGAAGGUACCCGGUGAAUAAGCCACGGCUAACUACGUGCCAGCAGCCGCGGUAAUACGUAGGUGGCAAGCGUUGUCCGGAUUUAUUGGGUUUAAAGGGUGCGUAGGUGGUUUUGUAAGUCAGUGCUGAAAUAUCCCGGCUUAACCGGGAGGGUGGCAUUGAUACUGCAGGACUUGAGUAAAGUUGAGGUAGGCGGAAUUGACGGUGUAGCGGUGAAAUGCUUAGAUAUCGUCAAGAACACCUAUUGCGAAGGCAGCUUACUAAGCUUUAACUGACACUGAUGCACGAAAGUGUGGGGAUCAAACAGG